UCUCUAUCCCCCAGUAGCCCACCCACACCAAAGGCAUCAGUGCACGACAUGAAAGAUCGAACAUUUUGUCCCCAGAAGAUAUUUGCCCCUUUUUCCGAGUCACUCUCAUCUCUGCCUUCAGAGAAACUGUCCCUCAGGCAGCCCUGAGCCUGGCUUUACUUCAUCCACCGCACGUUACCACACAAAACUGUUUCCUUCUUCAAGAAUGGAGGAGCUUGAAUUCUUAGAUGCUGAUGAGAGAUGGAAGACACAGAUGAGAGAAGUGAGCCCUAAUGGAACAAGGCUGUGGAGAAGGAAGGCGUGAAGGGAUGGAAGGUGCAGGUUCAUCGAACGGGAAGAGAUGUACUAUUUCUCUGCCUCUGAUGGGAAGGAAGUGAAAUAAACAUGGAUACAGCUAGGUUUGUGGUGAUGGU
rnacentral:lncRNA from 1 species